ensembl:lncRNA
CCCUGCUGAGUCAGCAUGCAUGGAAGCGUUCUUUGUUUGCGUCCAGAGUGAAGUGAACGCUUCUGUCUGAUCGCUUUUAUUCGAGCCAUUUUCUGUUCACUGCUUCUGAACGGUUUUGUUUGAGCUCCCAACAGAAGGACAGACACUAAUAUCUGAAAAACUACUUUUGCUCAAAUAAAAUACUCCGAGGAGAUAGGAGGCUGAGGUACACAGUCGCCUCCUAGUGCCCUUCCAAGUUUCCUACAUUUCCUUCCAGAAACCUCCUGAUAGUACAAACAAGAACUCAGUGCGCAGCUGCCCACCCAACAUGGUUUGAUGCAUGGAGAUUGGAUACAUCAGCAUCCGCAGGAACUAAAGUAGAAACCCGGGAAUACUUCUCCUGUCGGCCGUCAGCACUAGCCCCGUGCCUUGCCUUCACACCGUGCGGGUGCUCGAGUAGCCAGGUGAGCUCGUCUCUUUGUGAUCAGGAAAGCAAAGGAAACACACAGUGCUCAUCCCAGGAGUUUACAAUUGACCGGUAUCUCUGAGGGCUUUGAGAGUGUGACCGCAUGAACAAAUGCAGAGCACGGUGCAUUGUCAUCCUGCAGUCCAGCUUUGUCCAGCCACUGGUAGGAUUUCUGGAUAUCAGCCACCUCUGCUAUCUGCCGGGGGUACAUACUGUGCAGGGGCCUGUCCUUCCAUGAUGGUUCCUCGCCUUCCUCCUCUUUCUUGGGUUUCUGCUGCCUGAGGUAUUCACUGAGCACGCUGUCAGUUGGGGCCACCUUACUGAUGUGUUCGUAGAUGUUCGUUGUCUCAUCCUGGACUGUGGUGCUGACACUCACCAGUCCGCCGCCUCCUUCCUUCUGCUUAGCGUACAGCCUCAGGGUGCUGGACUUGGGGUGAAACCUUCCAUGCAUGGUAAGGAGCUUUCUUGUCUUUAUGUCAGUGGCUUCUGUCUCCUCCUUUGGCCAGCUUAUUAUCCCAGCAGGGUACCUGAUCACGGCAGGGCGUAGGUGUUGAUGGCC